GAACAGUCUAGAAUAUGGC
rnacentral:snRNA from 1 species